rnacentral:lncRNA from 1 species
GUUCUACUACAAAGUCAUAUACAAUAAAUGUCCCAAAUCAUUUGGAGACACGAGACAUGGAGAAUGUGCAGUAGCAGGUGCAGUCUACAAUAGAUAAGGAUAGACUCGUCUGCCACCAGGAGUAGGAGGAGGUGACUUCUGGUAUCCGUAUAGAGGUUCGACAGCUCAUCCAAGAGCUCCUCAUGAAGUUCUUGAUGCCCGAUGCAUCUUUCUCUGCCUCAACUUAGCAGCAACAAGAUGACCAGGAUCAGUCGAUUGCCGACCCGUAUAUUAGAUUUCUUUUAAUUCUUUGACUAUAAUAAAUAAUUUCUAAUUUAUAAUAUAAUUUUUUUAUAUAUUACCUUUUUUUAUUGAUAUGUCAGUCAAAUUUGAUUAAUAAGUUAAUAAAUGAGCAACUGAUCU